CCUACGGGUGGCAGCAGUGGGGAAUAUUGGACAAUGGGGGGAACCCUGAUCCAGCCAUGCCGCGUGUGUGAAGAAGGCCCUCGGGUUGUAAAGCACUUUCAGUGAGGAAGAACGCCUGGUGGUUAAUACCCAUCAGGAAAGACAUCACUCACAGAAGAAGCACCGGCUAACUCCGUGCCAGCAGCCGCGGUAAUACGGAGGGUGCGAGCGUUAAUCGGAAUUACUGGGCGUAAAGCGCGCGUAGGUGGCUUGAUAAGCCGGUUGUGAAAGCCCCGGGCUCAACCUGGGAACGGCACCCGGAACUGUCAAGCUAGAGUGCAGGAGAGGAAGGUAGAAUUCCCGGUGUAGCGGUGAAAUGCGUAGAGAUCGGGAGGAAUACCAGUGGCGAAGGCGGCCUUCUGGACUGACACUGACACUGAGGUGCGAAAGCGUGGGUAGCAAACAGGAUUAGAUACCCUGGUAGUC
rnacentral:rRNA from 1 species